rnacentral:rRNA from 1 species
ACAGUUUGAUCAUGGCUCACAUUGAACGCUGGCGGCAGGCUUAACACAUGCAAGUCGAACGGUAAAGUAGCUUGCUACUUACGAGUGGCGGACGGGUGAGUAACGUAUGGGAAUUUACCGAAUGGAGGGGGACAACAGUUGGAAACGGCUGCUAAUACCGCAUAACGUCGAGAGACCAAAGGGUUUCGACUUGCCAUUUGAUGAGCCCAUAUGAGAUUAGCUAGUUGGUGUGGUAAUGGCUCACCGAGGCGACGAUCUCUAGCUGGUUUGAGAGGAUGACCAGCCACACUGGGACUGACACACGGCCCAGACUCCUACGGGAGGCAGCAGUGGGGAAUAUUGCACAAUGGGGGGAACCCUGAUGCAGCCAUGCCGCGUGUAUGAAGAAGGCCUUAGGGUUGUAAAGUACUUUCGUGGAGGAGGAAGGGUUUACGUAAUCGUGGACAUUGACGUUACUCCAAGAAGAAGCACCGGCUAACUCCGUGCCAACAGCCGCGGUAAUACGGAGGGUGCGAGCGUUAAUCGGAAUGACGGGCGUACAGGGCAUGUAGGCGGAUGAUU